rnacentral:tRNA from 1 species
AUGGCCGAGAAACAGGCAUUAGAUUUUUAAUCUAAAUACGAAAUUAAGUUCU